rnacentral:rRNA from 1 species
UACAGAGGGUGCAAGCGGUAAUCGGAAUUACUGGGCGUAAAGCGCACGUAGGCGGCUAUGUAAGUCAGGUGUGAAAUCCCCGGGCUCAACCUGGGAACUGCACUUGGGACUGCAUGGCUAGAGUAUGGGAGAGGCAGGCGGAAUUCCCGGUGUAGCGGUGAAAUGCGUAGAUAUCGGAAGGAACAUCAGUGGCGAAGGCGGACUUCUGGUCGGACACUGACGCUCAGGCGCGAAAGCGUGGGGAGCAAACAGG